rnacentral:rRNA from 1 species
CUACGGGGGGCUCCAGUGGGGAAUAUUGCACAAUGGGCGAAAGCCUGAUGCAGCAACGCCGCGUGAAUGAUGAAGGCCUUCGGGUCGUAAAGUUCUGUCCUAUGGGAAGAAAAAAAUGACGGUACCAUAGGAGGAAGCCCCGGCUAACUACGUGCCAGCAGCCGCGGUAAUACGUAGGGGGCAAGCGUUAUCCGGAAUCAUUGGGCGUAAAGGGUGCGUAGGCGGCUGAGCAAGCCAGAGGUAAAAGGCAAUAGCUUAACUAUUGUAAGCCUUUGGAACUGCUUAGCUUGAGUGCAGGAGAGGAAAGUGGAAUUCCUAGUGUAGCGGUGAAAUGCGUAGAUAUUAGGAGGAACACCAGUGGCGAAGGCGACUUUCUGGACUGUAACUGACGCUGAGGCACGAAAGCGUGGGGAGCGAACAGGAUUAGAUACCCUAGUAGUC